UACGAAGGGGGCUAGCGUUGCUCGGAAUCACUGGGCGUAAAGGGUGCGUAGGCGGGUCUUUAAGUCAGGGGUGAAAUCCUGGAGCUCAACUCCAGAACUGCCUUUGAUACUGAGGAUCUUGAGUUCGGGAGAGGUGAGUGGAACUGCGAGUGUAGAGGUGAAAUUCGUAGAUAUUCGCAAGAACACCAGUGGCGAAGGCGGCUCACCUGGCCCGAUACUGACGCUGAGGCACGAAAGCGUGGGAGCAAACAGGG
rnacentral:rRNA from 1 species